ACCCGCUGAACUUAAGCAUAUCAAUAAGCGGAGGAAAAGAAACUAACAAGGAUUCCCCUAGUAACGGCGAGUGAAGCGGGAAAAGCUCAAAUUUGUAAUCUGGCGCCUUCGGCGUCCGAGUUGUAAUCUCGAGAAGUAUUUUCCGCGCUGGACCGCACAUAAGUCUGUUGGAAUACAGCGUCAUAGUGGUGAGAACCCCGUAUAUGGUGCGGAUGCCCAGUGCUUUGUGAUAUACUUUCGAAGAGUCGAGUUGUUUGGGAAUGCAGCUCAAAUUGGGUGGUAAAUUCCAUCUAAAGCUAAAUACUGGCGAGAGACCGAUAGCGAACAAGUACCGUGAGGGAAAGAUGAAAAGCACUUUGGAAAGAGAGUUAACAGUACGUGAAAUUGUUGGAAGGGAAACGCUUGAAGUCAGACUUGCAUUUUGGAGUUCAGCCGCAAGGUGUACUCUUCAAUUCGCAGGCCAGCAUCAGUUUUCGGGGGUGGAAAAUCGUGGUUUGAAGGUAGCAGUCUCGGCUGUGUUAUAGCUUUCCGCUGGAUUCACUUUUGGGGACUGAGGAACGCAGUACGCUUUUUGCAAGACUCUCGAGUCUUUCGUACUUAGGAUGCUGGUGGAAUGGCUUUAAACGACCCGUCUUGAAACACGGACCA
rnacentral:rRNA from 1 species